GUUGCGGGGGUGGGUGCCAUCCAGGAAGGGCCAGUCUGCCCUCCAGGGCUGCCCCAGACAAGCUGAGCCCCUAUGCCCUGCCCACUCUGCCAGGGCUGGUCCAGCUCCAGAUGUGAAAAGAUGCAGGGAAGGCGAGCUCUCCGAAACCCGGACCACACCCUGGCCUUUCCUCCGUGUGCCUCCUGGGGCCAAGUCAGACAGAGAUGCCCUGCGGGCUGAGGAGGAGGCCCCACUGUGGGUCAAGGAAGGCUCUGGCCAUGAAGAGGCCACCUCCUCCCCUCUCAAAAGGAAGCAGGGACUUCCAGCAGCUCCUGGUGAGAGGUAGGGAGGGGUGAGGGCGGGGGAGCCCCUCCCCUGCAGGCUGUGUGGAGGGGUGGGCCCUGGGCCACGCCCAGCUGCAGCACAACCACCCAGGAGGCAGGAACCGGGGCUCCCCCGAGCACCCUUCACCUGCUCCUGCCCUUGUGCCAAGCUCGAGCCAACAGCCACUGAGGACAGAAUUGGUGGGCGAGGGGCCGUCUGGCUUCCCUGCCUCGGCCCCUCCCAGCGUCAUGCUGUGAAGGCCAAGGGGACGGGUGUGGGGGUUGCCACCUCGCCCAGCAGCGCCUUUGCCCCCACCCUGGGGUCUGAGCCUUGUGGGGAGGAGCCCUGGGACUCAGGGGCUGGUUGGAGCCGGUACCCCCAGCGUGGCUCAGACCCAACACUUCCCUUGGAGGUUCUUGUUCUGUCCAUCUCCGCUCACCAGAGCUGUUCCAGACCCCACGGGCUCGGUUCUCCAGCUUCCUGACGAUCCAGGAGCCCCAGGAUCCUUCCAGUCACUUCUCACUGGUUUCGGUGGCUCAGGGCCGCUGACCGUCUCCCCCAGGCCCAGCCGUCAGGUUCGUGGCACUGCUCUCUGCCCCCAGACCUCUGCCCUCGGGGGAGAAGCAGUCUCCGGGUCUCCGUGCCUCCACCCUGCUGACCACAGAGGGAGCCCGAACUGUGCUGACGAUGUCAAGGGCCCCCUGGCCCCCUGCCUAGUCAGCCUCCACCCCAGGGAGCCCCUGCAGGAGCUGGGAGGGCGGAGGCCAGAUCCUCCCUAUGGUCACCGGGGGCCUCGCCUACACAGUUCACCUCGACCUUCUAGAACCGGUCCUCCCCUCCACCCUUUGACCUGGGUGGGUCAGCUCUGCUGCUCCCAGCUCUAGGUUCCUGCACGGGCUCUCAGGGUCCCCUGCACCCCACCCACGUGCGCAUAGUUUCUGUGUAAACACACGACCCACUUUCUCCUCAUCUGUGGGUGCCCUCUGUGUCCCUCCAGGAAAUGGGUCGGGGCUGGGCAUCUCUGCCUGGGGCUUCAGGAGGGGCCCCUGCCCCCACCCUCACCUGGAAUCCAAACCAGGCAGCUGCCUCCAAUGUCCUGUCCCUCAGGUACCUUCAGCACCCCGAUCACAGGCUGCAGGCCGCCGUGACCCUGCCCCAGCUUCAGUGUGCAGGGCGGUCAGGACGUGGGCUCUGCGGGCCUGGGUCGUCCCAGCCCCCACUGUUCAGCAGCCAGGCCCCCGUGCCUCCUCCUCUUGCCAAACCUGGUGACGCGUCAGGCACCUGGUGGCAGGCCCCGGAGCUCGCACCCGUGAGAGCGCCUGUGGGGCCAGGUGGCGACCUCAACCACCAGGUUGCCUCAAGCCAGACUCUGGCCCACUGGCAGCUGCCCACCCGGGGUCUGGAGAUCCUCCCACGGGCCGGGCCUCCGGUUUUGCUGGGGCAGUCACACUAAGUAUGGGAAUGAGAAG
rnacentral:lncRNA from 1 species